CCUCCCCGCCCUCGCGCCCGCGCUCCCGGGGGCGCGCCCGUGCUCGGGCACCCGCCCGUGGCACGCGCGGAACCCGGGCGUCAUCUACUGGUUAACAUUCACCGCCUUCCGUGGAGCAUGGGGCCUGCCUUUAUUAAUAUUUAUGAAUUACUAUUUCUCCCCCCUUGAACAUUGGCCUUUCUUCUUCCCUCAUGAAUAUUCAGAAGCUACAAGAUGCGUGCGUGCAGUAACUCCCAAUAUGGAUACCUCACAGGGCCUGACACUAGAUUCUGGAUUGAAAACAGACGGGUGGCUGAGUAGAUGGGCCGGCGGAUGCCCGCAGACACAAAGACCCCCUUGGACCUUCUGGAUUCCUCAUUUACUCUACGGGGCUAAAGUGGACAAUCUGCGAGGUGCCUGCCGCCCCAGACCGCGCUCAGACCUCAAGCCAAUAAUGAUCAACGUUUUUACCACCCAGAGAUGCACAACGGGAGCUGGGCCCGGGCUGAUAAAGCUGAGUUAGGUUUCAGGCCCAGGAGUGCUUGACAUUACAGAAGGUCAUUCGCCAGGAGAUGUAAGGAAAGACCCUGAGGCCUUAUGAAAAUUUAUUUUGCAUCCAUUUAUCUGCCCACUAGGCAUAAGCUUGUGCUUUAGAGGCCGUUAAUACAAAGUAUAAUAAUUCAUGAAAGCAGGCAACUAAAAGUGCAAGAACUGCAAGUAUGAAUGGAAGGCACCCAGAAGCGCAUGUCUGCUUGGAGAACCCCAGAAAGAUCCUUCUUGAAGAAGCCAAUUUUUCAUGAAAUUCUGGAAAUGAGCUGCUGAAUCUUUAUUGAAAACCUAUGUCAAUCACAGUCCAGCAAAUAAAGAUGCUGCUUGGAGAUUUCUUCAUCCCUGGACGUCUUUAACAAAAGGUUCUUGGACUCUCAGAGCCAAACAAAAGCUGUGUGUGGUAUUUUGCCUGCAAUCAAAACUUACUGUCAGAAUUUGCUUACAUGUUACGAGAAGUCUUACUCUGUGCCUCCCAUCCCCUAUCUUUCCCUGGCCUGCUGAGGCACACUUUAGAACGGAAACACAUCAAUAGGUCUAGGUCCUGGGGCCCAUUUUGGCCUUAGCCCUGCCCCUCCUGAACUGGAUUAUGGAGUGAGGUUUGAACUCAUCAGUGGCUUCUUCUUGUGACCUCCAGGGAGCUAAGGCAUCUUUCUUCAGCAGGAAGGAAGGAUGCUUCCCCCUCCCACCUUCCACAGGACUACCUCCCACCACUUCCAUCCCCCCCCGCCCCGGGCUGCCUUUCAUUGUGGCUGCCCAGUUGCCAUGCCAACAAGGUUCCCAUAGUUACUAAGAAGCGCUGCUGCGUUCCCAUAGGCAGUGCCCAUCUACCAAAAGGGAAAGGGAGACCAUUAUGACCCCACGGCAAAAAAAAGUGGCUAACCGGGUCUCAGCCCAGGGGAUGUUGAAGGACGAUCUUGUUCAUCUUUGAUAACAGUGUCUAGGCUGGACCUCAGACCAAACGCUGCUGCCUCCACUCAAGUUCUCUGCUACCUAAACCUAGGGAGAAAGGCGGCUGGCACUAGUUCAAGACCAUUGUUUUGCCUAGUGUGGGGUCCAAAUAGACACCACAUUGUGUAGAUCGUGCUAAUAUGUAGAUGUACUAAUACAUCUGGGCUCUUUGUCUAGCUCGGAAAAUGGAAAAUGCAAAACAUGUUCUGCUCUCUCCUUUGGUUGGGUAUCUUGUCUGAGAAUCUGCUUUUCUCCUUAUGGUACUCCUCCCUGAAUUGAUUAUCCUAGGGCAUACCAUGUCAUUUUUUAAAAAAAAGAAUUUUUUUCCCUCAAAUAUAAAGAAAUGUGUUCUAAUAUAAAAUUCAAAAGUAAAGAAAAUAAGAAAAAAUCAU